rnacentral:lncRNA from 1 species
AUUCUUUGAUCUACACAGGUCUAAGAACUGGAAUUCUUAGUACCUACUGAACUCCCCCUAACAUCACUAUGGAAAUGGAAGGGGACCACACAAGACUGAGUUGGCAACUGAGACAGGGCCCUCACCCAGAAGGUGCCCAGUACACAUUUACUGACUAAUAGGUAAGUCAUUCUUUGUGUGCCUCUUGUCUGACCUCUCUAAAAUCAUGAUGGGGUUGCCUGUAUUUUUGAGAUAAUAAGACACUAAGGAUGUUUUGAGUGCCUGCUGUGUGAUAUUUGACAAAUUUGUUUUCCUGUAAUUUUCUACAAUUUCACAAGAAAUUACUUAGCCUUGAAAUGUUGAAAUAUUGUUUUUCUCACUGGAG